CUUACGUAUUUCAAUAUUAACUACCAAAUUACGAUGUUACACUAGAGAUUAUUUGUCUGGGAACAAUCAAGCUGUGGCCUGCCUAGAAGAAGUUAUUUUAUUAUUCGCUUGAAGGGAAUUCAAAAGACUUGUAUUUAGGAGUAUCAAUAAACAUCUCUGGGAAUGCAUUGUGGAUAGCCGCUUUUUUUCCUGGUUGUGAGCUUUAUCCGGACAGCAGGUGGUGCGGCGCUAAAAAGCAGACGGCGGGAUAAACCCAACCAGUUACUUAGAGCUCUCAUCGUCGAUUACCCGGCCCAGAAGACCUGGUAUUAAAAUAAGAUAUCGAACCUCGGAAAAUACAGUAGUCUUAUGGGAAUUUAUGAAUUACUAAAUCAAUCGCUAUUUCGAACUAGGCAGACUUAAGUUUAAUUAAUCAAGUUGGUUCAAGGAUACUAGACCUAAACUUACGUCUGAAGGACAUCGGGGACUUCUAGGUUCAUAGUUGUCUCGAUAACUAUUUUCCGCUAAUAACACAGGUGGACAGCGGUCCAUUAUAGACACUACUGCUUUACCGUAAUAAGUACAAGGAUGGUACGCGCCGAUAUCCUCGAAGUCGUUCGUGAGCAUUUAGACAGUCAGUACUGCUUGUUGCUGCCGUUUUGUAACUAAAUGUUCUGUUGUGAGGGGAAGGAAGGUGCGUGGCUCCUUCAGAGGAUUUAGGGAAAUCGGUGUCACGUAGAUGGAAACAGAAGCCCGGUGUGGAAUUUGGACCUGGUGCCUACAAACCAAACACAGCAAACUAUUCGGAUACUAAAUUAAAGACGCGAUUGAUGAAUUUACUGAAGAUGAAAGAGGCCAGAGAAAAAACGAAGAUCGUGAACAAAGAGCAGUCAUUUAUUAAUUACUAGCUGACCCGGCAGACUUCGUAGUGCCGCAAUCGAUAAAUAAGUCGUAAACUUUUGUAUAAAAUAAACUUAAAACAAACAAAAGGAAUCCGUUCGAUACGGGACACAUCAAACGAAAAAAUAUAUUGUUAUUUUUAUUUAA